rnacentral:rRNA from 1 species
UCUUAGUGGCGGACGGGUGAGUAACGCGUGGGUAACCUGCCUUACACUGGGGGAUAACACUUAGAAAUAGGUGCUAAUACCGCAUAAGCGCACGAAGCCGCAUGGAUUUGUGUGAAAAACUCCGGUAGUGUAAGAUGGACCCGCGUCUGAUUAGCUUGUUGGCGGGGUAACGGCCCACCAAGGCGACGAUCAGUAGCCGGCCUGAGAGGGUGGACGGCCACAUUGGGACUGAGACACGGCCCAAACUCCUACGGGAGGCAGCAG